rnacentral:rRNA from 1 species
CAGCCGCCGCGGGAAUACGGAGGGGGCUAGCGUUGUUCGGAAUUACUGGGCGUAAAGCGUACGUAGGCGGCUUUGUGAGUUAGAGGUGAAAGCCUGGUGCUCAACACCAGAACUGCCUUUAAGACUGCAUCGCUUGAACGUCGGAGAGGUGAGUGGAAUUCCGAGUGUAGAGGUGAAAUUCGUAGAUAUUCGGAAGAACACCAGUGGCGAAGGCGGCUCACUGGACGACUGUUGACGCUGAGGUACGAAAGCGUGGGGAGCAAACAGGAUUAGAUACCCCGGUAGUCCCUGUCUCUUAUAA